rnacentral:rRNA from 1 species
AUUGAACGCUGGCGGCAUGCUUUACACAUGCAAGUCGAACGGCAGCGCGGGGCAACCUGGCGGCGAGUGGCGAACGGGUGAGUAAUAUAUCGGAACGUACCCAGAAGUGGGGGAUAACGUAGCGAAAGUUACGCUAAUACCGCAUACGAUCUACGGAUGAAAGUAGGGGACCGCAAGGCCUUAUGCUUUUGGAGCGGCCGAUAUCUGAUUAGCUAGUCGGUGAGGUAAAGGCUCACCAAGGCGACGAUCAGUAGCUGGUCUGAGAGGACGACCAGCCACACUGGAACUGAGACACGGUCCAGACUCCUACGGGAGGCAGCAGUGGGGAAUUUUGGACAAUGGGCGCAAGCCUGAUCCAGCAAUGCCGCGUGAGUGAAGAAGGCCUUCGGGUUGUAAAGCUCUUUUGUCAGGGAAGAAACGGUAGAGGCUAAUAUCCUUUGCUAAUGACGGUACCUGAAGAAUAAGCACCGGCUAACUACGUG